rnacentral:rRNA from 1 species
CUGAACCAGCCAAGUAGCGUGAAGGAUGACUGCCCUAUGGGUUGUAAACUUCUUUUAUACGGGAAUAAAGUGAGGCACGUGUGCCCUUUUGUAUGUACCGUAUGAAAAAGGAUCGGCUAACUCCGUGCCAGCAGCCGCGGUAAUACGGAGGAUCCGAGCGUUAUCCGGAUUUAUUGGGUUUAAAGGGAGCGUAGGCGGCCUUUUAAGUCAGUUGUGAAAGUUUGCGG